UAAAGUCGAUGUUACCAGUUAUAGAGAUGGAGGCACUAACAGGGCUGUGAUGCCCUUAGAUGUUCUGGGCCGACGCCGAAUACACUGAUGAAGUCAUCGAGUUCAUUUCCUUUAUCGGAAGAUUGGGUAAUCUUUUGAAACUUCAUCGUGCUGGGUCUAGAGCAUUGAAACUAUUGCUCUUGAACGAGGAAUCCCUAGUAAGUACAAGUCACUAGCUUGUGCUGAUUACGUCCCUGCCCUUUGUACACACCGCCCGUCGCUACUACCGAUUGAAUGGCUUAGUGAGGCCUUCGGAUUGAAAUUCGGAGACUGGCAACAGACUCUUGGUUUUGAAAAGUUGGACAAACUUGGUCAUUUAGAGGAAGUAAAA
rnacentral:rRNA from 1 species